UGACAGUGAAAUUGAAUGGUUCUGCCAUAGGUUCUGCUGUCUCCAGCCAUAACAGACCACAGCCACGCUUGACCGUUGAGUCUUGUGCAGCUUAGCUGCAUGCAGCUUGCACUUGGUGUUGUUGCCACAGCAACCACUGAAGAUAAAUCUGUGCAGGUCUUGAUGCUACGGUGCUCGCGCUACCGCAUUGAAGGGGAGAUAGCAGUCCAACACGGGUUGAUGGGACCUCAAGAUCCACAGUGACUCACCGACAGGGCGCGACACUAGAUAACAAGGGAAGAAGAAAUGUGAUGGCGACAAGCCUCGGUUACCUUGGACUUUGACGUGAACACACUGGGAAGACUGUCAUACGAGCAGUGACCGUGCUGCUGUACCAGUGUCCUGAGAAUACCAAUACGGGCAAUUACCACUACCCCUCUCUAGCUUGAUCGUUCGACAACCACUCACGCAAGAUUUCCUGACGGAUAUAAUCCAAUUCAUCACUCCAUAUUUUGGAUAUUCCGACCGAAACAAUAGUGGCACAGACAAAUUUGAAAAUGGUUCCAGCUCCCUGUCCACUUGUAUAAUACCAGCACUAAAACAAACAUUUCCGAGUGACCACUUGGAUUUGGAUGUAGGGCUUUCCACUGGAACAUUCGAGACAAGCCAACCUGUGCAACGCCCACGGCCUGAUGAAUGGUUUUCUAAUUACACAGCUCAACCUGCAUCAGAUUGCUGUUGUUUGUGUGCAUACGGCUCACCAGAAUGGGCUUUAGUUAUUGUGACGAUCACUAAACUGUAUUGUUAAAAAAGAAUACGACCCUCUCAUGUUCUACUAUGGCAAUGACUGCACAGACACUGUUAACCUUAUCGUGGUAGAAUACCUAUCUGCUCGACCUAUGGGCAACGGACUAUGAAAACCCAUAGUUUUAAGGAUGUAUUCAGACAUACAGCACAGUCUCCAUGUAUACUGUUGAAGUUCCUAGUUGCCUUUGUAAGGCAUGUCUGUCUGUGACCCUGCAGUAACUUAUCGUUGUAAUUUGAACUUGUCUGUGUUAUUGCAAUUGGAAUGGGCAAACCGCCUAACGCCUAAACUGUUACUAGAUAUUUCAAUAAAGACUCAAGAGAC